CAGGGUGUGGCGAAGUUUGGUAUCGCGCUUGAUUUGGGUUCAAGAUGUCGCUGGUUCAAAUCCAGUCACCCUGA
rnacentral:tRNA from 1 species